AGCAGAGUGGCCUAGUGGAAAGAGCACUGGCCUGGGAAUCAAAGAACCUGGGUUCUAAUCCCAGCUCUGCCA
rnacentral:tRNA from 1 species